GGGCCCCUCUCUACUCUGACUUUGCCCGGAGCUUCACUUUCUCCCAGCUGAGCAGCCCCAGUCAGGAGCAGCUGUUUUACACUUUCACAGUGAGGGCUGCAUUCUCCAAGGAUGGAGUCACAGAGCCCUGGAAGUGGGGAGGUUCCCUCCAGAGCACCAAGGGCGACCUUCAUUUGAAUUCAAUAACCGUUUUCCAGAGAACUGAACCAUUCAUAAGAGAAAGCAAGCAUUACUGAGUGAAGCAACAACAAAACUGACAGAGGGACAGCAGGGUGGAUGGGGAAGAUGAAAGGACGGACAGAUGGAUGGAUGGGCGGACAGACAGACCCCGAAGGUGGAUGGAGAAAGAAGUUUGCCGAAGGGGUCUUGACCCACAGGUUGAGAACCGCUGUCCUGGAGGCGUGCCUGAAGCCCAAUCCUAUGGAGGUAUUUUUCUCAGGAUCCAUUCACAUAAGUCCAGGAAUGCGCUGAGAUCAUGGUAUUUCAGUCCCAAAAUGAAGCUGGUGAGAUUGCCUGAGAAGGACUGAUCAGCCAAUGAGACAACGGCGUGCCUGUGUGUCAUGUUAAGAUGUGUUUCCAGAGGGCUGGAGAGUUCAAGUCCCAGCCCCCACAUCAGCCAGCUGGAGACCCCUGCAAACUCCAGUUCCAGUGGGACUGAUGUCUCCUGGCUUCUGUGGCACUGCCUUCACACGCGCAUAUGCACACAGGGACAUAAAUAAAAAUAAAAACUAAGUCUUAAGGAACUCCAGGUCUUCACUUCGUCCCUCAUGAGAGCCUCAGUAUUCUCAGAUCUUAACAGGCACAUCUGCCCCUCAGUGAGCCUGGACUAGCCCUGUUUAAACAA